AGAAGAGAAGGCAGGGAGCCACCGCCGCUGCUGCUAAGUCACCGAAGCUUCUGGACUGAGCUUCCGCCGCCCGAAACCCACUGCCGUCGCCGGAAAAAGCACUGUCGGUAAGGUUUUAAGCUUUGGGUUUUGUUUCUCUUGAGAUUCCGGAAGCUUUAUUGUCGUUGCAUGUUUGUUACAGUUGUCGUCGUUGAAAUUCGUUGCCACCACCACCAUUAGAGGCGAACCCAGUUAUUUCCUCGCUGCCGGAGUUUCGGUGUCGCUUUGAAUUUUCAGAGUUGUUUCUGCGUUCGAUUCCAUCAAAUUCGAAUCUAUUGUUGCUGUGAGCGAAAUCGGAGUUGGCGAUGCUGCCAUCGUCCCUGUUGUGUUGGAAUCGCCACUGCUGGUGUGAGUUUAAACUAAGUGGGACUGUUGUGUUAAAUUAUGCGAUUGCGACAUCGAGGAACCAGAUGAAGAGGCAUUAAGAAAAGUUAUACUGCGUUUGGUUUAUAUGCUGUUGUGUUAAUUAUAUUAUUUUCUUCCCUCGUCUUUGUUAUUACAAGUUUGUAAGAGGGAUAGGAGUUGUAUGUUUUAUAUGUAUAUUAUAUUAUGAGAUAUUAUGUAAGGAGUUUUGUAUAUGAAUGUAUGCUUGCUUGUAUUUUUUUUAAGAUAAAGUAUUUAUUUCCGGUUUU